rnacentral:pre_miRNA from 1 species
UACCCUGUAGUUCCGGGCUUUUGUUGAAAUAGCAAUUCAAACUAAAUGCAUUUAUAGCCAAUCAGAAGCUCGUCUCUACAGGUAUCU